GACGAACGCUGGCGGCGUGCUUAACACAUGCAAGUCGAACGGAAAGGCCCUGCUUUUGUGGGGUGCUCGAGUGUCGAACGGGUGAGUAACACGUGAGUAACCUGCCCUUGACUUUGGGAUAACUUCAGGAAACUGUGGCUAAUACCGGAUAGGAGCUCCUGCUGCAUGGUGGGGGUUGGAAAGUUUCGGCGGUUGGGGAUGGACUCGCGGCUUAUCAGCUUGUGGGUGGGGUAGUGGCUUACCAAGGCUUUGACGGGUAGCCGGCCUGAGAGGGUGACCGGCCACAUUGGGACGGAGGUGCGGCCGAGAAUCCUACGGGAGGAAGCAGUGGGGAAUAAUGCACAAUGGGCGGAAGCCGGAUGCAGCAACGACGCGGGCUGGAUGAAGGACUUCGGGUUGUAAACCGCUUUCGCCUGUGACGAAGCGUGAGUGACGGUAAUGGGUAAAGAAGCACCGGCUAACUACGUG
rnacentral:rRNA from 1 species